rnacentral:tRNA from 1 species
GCCUCCGUAGCUCAAUUGGACAGAGCAAAGACCUUCUAAGUCUGAGGUUACAGGUUCGAUCCCUGUCGGGGGCA